rnacentral:rRNA from 1 species
UACGUAGGGUGCAAGCGUUGUUCGGAAUUACUGGGCGUAAAGAGUGUGUAGGCGGCGCUCUAAGUUCGGUGUGAAAUCUCUCGGCUUAACUGGGAGGGUGCGCCGGAAACUGGAGUGCUCGAACGUGGGAGAGGAAAGCGGAAUUCCUGGUGUAGCGGUGAAAUGCGUAGAUAUCAGGAGGAACACCUGCGGUGUAGACGGCUUUCUGGACCAUUGUUGACGCUGAGACACGAAAGCGUGGGUAGCAAACAGG